rnacentral:misc_RNA from 1 species
AAAUAAACAGAAGUUGGUUCACUUUGGCCAAAAAUUACAGGUCUAAAAUAGACAAGCAAGUUGCUAUAUAAUACAAACAUCAUCUUCGUAAUUGUGGUGAUCAAGGCUACAAACUGAGGUUCAUUAACCAUAUCAGAUGAAAAACAUAAUUAGAGUGUUUUGUCCUCCUGCCCAUUUCAUCUAGCCUGAUUUACACAGUCUUUUCCUUUGCUGGUGCAACCUUGGCAGCAGUAGAGCGUUCUGACUUUGAGAAAUUAAUCAAAAUUUGCAUGAGCACUGUAAUAAUAGCCAUGAGAGCAGCUGAUAUUGCCACACCCUUCCAUGACGACAACAAUGCAGUUGCUUGUAAAAAUUUUAUGGUUCCUAAGAUAAGAAUGCAUGACCAAGAUGCGACUACCACAAGGGAUUUGAUUGGGCGGCCAAUGUCUUGCAGCUUUUCUUCUCCAAAAGUGUCUUCAGCAAUAUGUUUGUCCAAUAACUUAUCCUUGGCCACAAAGAUAUCUCUACACCAUUGGGCAAUGGCAUCAUCAUUUUCAGGCAGAUCCUUCAUCUCAUGCCGCUUGAGGUGCACAUGCACCACAGAAGGUUGCCCCUUGAAGAGUCUCAGCAUUGUAGGUGCAGGUGAACUUUUGGGGAUGCAUAUUGUUGCAUCAUAAAUGGCUGGAACAAAUGAGCGCAUAUGACUUACUGCAGUAACAAAACCCUUAGUGCGAGGAAUCAAUACAUUCCUUGGAACAGGUAACUCAGCUGAAGCAGCAUAUUCUUGAGCAGCCAAAAGCUUUGCUUGUGUAAAGCGUGUGCCUUCAACAAAAAGUGCCAACCAGAAUGGCAAAGGGUAAUCGCUUAGCCGUUGAAGACCUGACUUCAACGUUCUUUCAUCCUUGGCCCAGCUUCUUUCAAGGAAAAGAUACUCAGAGAACCACAUGGACCAACCAAUUACUGGGAGGAGUUUUGAUGACUUCUUCAUUACAGCUAAUGAGCUGCCAAGGCAACCAGAUCUCUGAGCCAAGAUCCAACCAACAAGCCAAUCUAUGUCACUUCUAUGAUUGGCGAUGACAAGAGCAUGUUCUUUACCCAUAAGAUUAAAUGUUUCUGGGUCGGCGUACACUUUAAUCUUUACACCUGCCCACCAAUCAACUAUCCACACAAGUUCCAGCCAUAAGAGCUCUGCAACGAUCCUAUUAAUCCUCCUGUAUGUGCUCUUCGAAAUUGGUCGUACAAGGACAAAGCAAGUAGCCUGAAUUAGAUUGAUAACAAGACCCGAAAUGAAGAAGAGGACGCCCAACGGAACGAUAACAGCUGCAGCUGCAAUCGCCAUAGACAAAUACUCCCAAAAAGCAACCCCACAAGAAAAGUAAUCUUAUUCUGAAAGAAUAAAAUUUCAGGUCUAAACAGAUUUGCUUUACGAGAACAGUGUCCUCUCAACUUCGAUCGCAAUGAAAACAGACGAAUAAGAGGGCUAUUUAUAGGGUUCGAAAUUUUUGAGAAAAUACAACCUAAUCAAUGUGGGAUUUGUCAGAUUUUUCAUACCAAGAUCAAACGGAUUUUUGAAAGGGAUUCGGGAAAUUGCAGGCCGUGGCUUGAUUCUCGAAGGUUCUGGAACGGCUACAGGUAUAUGGCUGGUGAACUGAACGAAUGAGGGGGAAGACGGGCUGAGCGUCGUCGUUUGAAAUGGAUUCUGUUCUUGCUGGUGGAGUUUACGAGGAAGAAGAGAGAGUUGAGAAAGGGACGCAUCUGGGGCCUUUCGUGAGUUAAGA